rnacentral:ncRNA from 2 species
GUUUGAAGGAAUCUCCGAGCCGGAGGACCUAAAGCGCAAGCCACGGUCAAAGGCCGAUGGGCGCCCCUGGAAACAGGGUCGCCUCCCGUGAUCGGAAAGGAGGUGUCCGAUUCCCGCU